CCUACGGGUGGCAGCAGUGAGGAAUAUUGGUCAAUGGGCGGAAGCCUGAACCAGCCAAGUAGCGUGCAGGAUGACGGCCCUACGGGUUGUAAACUGCUUUUAUACGGGAAUAACGCGCCUUACGUGUAGGGCUUUGCAUGUACCGUAUGAAUAAGGACCGGCUAAUUCCGUGCCAGCAGCCGCGGUAAUACGGAAGGUCCGGGCGUUCUACGGAUUUAUUGGGUUUACAGGGAGCGUAGGCCGCAUGUCAAGCGUGCUGUGAAAUUUCAGUGCUCAACCCUGGCCUUGCAGCGCGAACUGGCGUGCUUGAGUCAGCGGAAAGCAGGCGGAAUUCGUCGUGUAGCGGUGAAAUGCUGAGAUAUGACGAAGAACCCCGAUUGCGAAGGCAGCUUGCUGCAGCGGAACUGACGCUGAUGCUCGAAAGCGCGGGUAUCGAACAGGAUUAGAUACCCUUGUAGUC
rnacentral:rRNA from 1 species